rnacentral:rRNA from 1 species
UAGCCGUAAACGAAUACUCGCUAGGUGUCGGCCACGGUGCGACCGUUGUCGGUGCCGUAGGGAAGCCGUGAAGCGAGCCACCUGGGAAGUACGGCCGCAAGGCUGAAACUUAAAGGAAUUGGCGGGGGAGCACCACAACGGGUGGAGCUUGCGGUUUAAUUGGAUUCAACGCCGGAAAUCUUACCGGGACCGACAGCAAUAUGAAGGCCAGGCUGAAGACUUUGCCGGAUUAGCUGAGAGGUGGUGCAUGGCGUGUGACUGU